UACGAAGGGGGCUAGCGUUGUUCGGAAUUACUGGGCGUAAAGCGCACGUAGGCGGAUAUUUAAGUCAGGGGUGAAAUCCCAGAGCUCAACUCUGGAACUGCCUUUGAUACUGGGUAUCUUGAGUAUGGAAGAGGUAAGUGGAAUUGCGAGUGUAGAGGUGAAAUUCGUAGAUAUUCGCAGGAACACCGGUGGCGAAGGCGGCCUGCUGGGCAGUUUUGCUGACACUGAGGCGCGACAGCGUGGGGAGCAAACAGG
rnacentral:rRNA from 1 species